AGCUCUGCUGCUGCUCAGCUGAGUAAAGGGGUUGCUGUUCCCAAAUGCCCAUCCCUGCCCCUCUUUCUCCACCAGACAACCCUGAUUGCUUAUACCCACGAGCAUCAGGGUGAUGAGAGUAUGGGGGAGCUGGAACAGCUUUACCUGGGGCCACUACUGGCAGAAGAGGAUCCGUAAUUGCAGCCUGAGGAUUGAGGACAGCAUGCUGCUGCUGUGAGGAAUCUCCUGUUUCUAAUUUUAUUUUCCUAUUGCUUAUCAAUGUCAUAAAAAGUUAAAUUAAAGAAGAAGUGUAGGGUGUUACAAAGUCCCGUCAUAAAAAUGUAUCUUCCAAGUCAUAAAUUAAUGAUUUGUUUUCUCCAUCUGGUUUGCCUGAUACAAACAGGAACAGUUUGCUUUUGCUGAGAGUGGAAAUGCCUCCGCUGAAAGGAUCUUGUGGAAAUAGGAAGAUGCAAGAAGAAAACAUUCAGGUAGCCUGUGUCAGUCUGCACACUGCUACAAACAGAAGGGAAGUGCACAAAGGGAAAUACGACUUGGAGGACAAACACACCACGCAUGUUAUUAUUGGUUACUCCCUACAACACAACGUGCCCUCAGCUGGUAGCAAUUACACUAACUGCUAUCUCCAAAGGGGAAACUAGUAUUGCCAGCUAUGAACGAGGUUAACUGUGAAAGGCAAGAAAAGGAAGAAGCUGCAGAUAUGCCUAAGCAGUAUUUCUACACCACUUCCAAAAGGAAAGACAUCCUUAUGCUUUGGAGAUGGUGAACAAGGUGGUUUUGGUCAGAGUGAAUAAGGUUUGUGCCAGCAGCCCUUGGGAUUUUACCUUGAAGAUGGAGACGAAAGGACGUCUGGCAAGGUGAAGGUCUGCGUAGCCAAAAUGGAGUUGUCUUCCUGGCCAGUACUCCCACGGGGACUGCAGAUGCGCAGUUUGUGAGCAGUGCAGAUUGCCGCAAGAACAACAUUCUUUCGCUACCUUUUCUACUUGCUUGUUUUUGAAAUAUCCAAAGUUUUACAGCAUUGCAUCAGCUGCAUUUUAUGAGCUUGUCCCCCUUCCCCCUUCAAGAUUGAAUAAAGUCUGCAGAGGACUAUAAUGGCCAAGAGGGAAAACCAAGCACAGCAUCUAGAAGACUGCUCAAAAACCUCUACAAACCAGAAAGAAGUUUAGAUAAAAUGUCUAGGCAAACAUAGCCCCCUUUUGGAUUAUGUAGCGCAGGGCAGUGCCAUCCAGAAACGUUCAUACCAGUUCCCCACAAGCUAAUUCUGAUUCUAGAAGGGACCUGGUCAUCACAGCAUGACCCUGCCUUGGUCCCCUACCCUUCCUAAGCAGCAGCAGGUUAUAUUUGCAUCGACAGUCUCUUUGAUCACUUGGCAAUACGCUUCUCCAACAUCCUUGUUUAGGGCUAGUCUGGCCAUCUUUACGUGAUACUGCAUUGUGCUAU